rnacentral:tRNA from 1 species
AGAGACUUAAGUUAACAUGAAACUAAUAGCCUUCAAAGCUUUAAUUGGACAAAAACCAGUCUCUA